CCUACGGGAGGCAGCAGUGAGGAAUAUUGGUCAAUGGACGGAAGGCUGAACCAGCCAUGCCGCGUGCAGGAAGACGGCUCUAUGAGUUGUAAACUUCUUUUGUACAAGGGUAAACCUGAAUACGUGUAUUCAGCUGAAAGUACUGUACGAAUAAGCAUCGGCUAACUCCGUGCCAGCAGCCGCGGUAAUACGGAGGAUGCAAGCGUUAUCCGGAUUUAUUGGGUUUAAAGGGUGCGGAGGCGGAUGGAUAAGUUAGAGGUGAAAUUUCCGGGCCUAACUCGGUAACUGCCUUUAAUACUGUAGCCCUAGAGAGUGGGAGAGGUAGGCGGAAUGUAUGGUGUAGCGGUGAAAUGCUUAGAGAUCAUACAGAACACCGAUUGCGAAGGCAGCAUACC
rnacentral:rRNA from 1 species